ensembl:lncRNA
GCCCCACUGUCCAGCUACAUUUUGCUUCCAGCCUUGGCCUCAGCUUCUCCAGAGCCACCAGGGAGAGGGCACCGUGCUGGCCACGCUGUGACCCAAAUGAAGGGUGACCCAAAAAGCUUCUGAGAGCCCCAAAGGAAUGCUGGAAAUUCCUUGGCCCCAGGAGUUUGCAUCUUGCCUCCACAGCCAAGCCGAGGCAGUUCCUUGCGGGUCCUCCCAUCUGGGGGAAGUCAGAAGGUGAUGCUGAAAUAUUUGGGUCUCUGGGCACUUGUGUAGUACAGGUGGCUCCUGCCACAGCCUCUCCCUGGAUGAGGAAGACCAAAAAGGAGAGGUUUGAGGCAGAUAACCUCUGCUCUGGUUUGUUUGGGAUCUUGAGAGCGAUUAAAUUAUCUCUAUUCCUGCCCCCCUUCCCAUCACUUGUCCAGGAGACAAUAGAGAGCAGGAAAUUAAGAGUGACUGUGAACAAAGAGCCCCGCGCUGAGGCUGCCAGUGCGGCCGGCAGCUCCUCGUUUUCACUUCGCCAUCCACUUCCCCAGGCGGAUCUAAAGACAUCAGCUCCUGGAGCAGCGGCAGAGUUGUUAUCAGCCUCAUUAAUCUUUAGGAGGCAGGAAAAAGCUGCUUCUGCUGGAGAUGAUGUGGGAAUUAAUGUCCCGGUAAUAGCGGGAGAGGAGGGAGGGGGUGAAGGGGAUGCGCGGCUGCUGUGAGGGGGAUCGGAUCUUUGGGGUGUCCCGAGGAACGGCAGUCCCUGGGUGGCCCCCGGAGGAGGGAGGACAGCCCAGGAGAGGGGUUUGGUGCCCUGUGACCUUUCCAGAGCUGUUUUAUCCUCUCCUGGCUGGUUGCUGUGCCCAGCACCGGUGCCUUCCCUGGGCAGUGGUGGCCGUGAGCAUUCCCAGCGCUGCCUCCUGGAAUCUCUCCCCGGAGCAGGUGACAGUGCCAGGUACCUCCCCUGUGUUCCUGGCACCGAGAUCACCCCCCUGGAGGAGGGGCAGGGGGAGCACAGGGAUCCCAGGGGGCCCCCAGCUCCUGGGGCUGCCAGGGGAGCACCAGGGCUCCAGCCUCUCCCUGCUUUGCACUUCCACCUCGGUGGGAAGCCAGGCCAGGGAGCUGGGGGGAUCCAGGCGGUUCUGCCUGGCUGAACCCAAUCUGAUCUUCAUUAAAAACCCCAUAAAAUUAAUGAGCUGAUGGCCCGGUGGGUGUUGAGGAGCUGAUCGGAGCUGAUCUCCAUCCAGGAGGAGGGCAGCAGCAGCUGCCUGAGUCAGGAAGCCAUCCUUGAGCCUUUUGAAGGCAAUUUGUCCCAUUCUGCCUAGUUUUGAAGCUGAAUUAAAGCCCAGCGCAGAGGCUGCUCUGCAUCCCUGGGUGGUCCCUGGUUCGGAGGGACGCUGUACCAGCAGCUGGUUUGGUGCUGGCAGAUAAACUCCUCUUUGUCCUUUUGCCUGGGAAGCAUCCACAGCGCUGAAAAGCACUUUACUGGCAGGGCUGGGGAGGGGAGGAACACACAGCCCCUUCCCACACGGCCGAAAUAACCCCUGGGAGAGGGGCACGGGGGUUACGUGACCACAGAGAGGCUUUAAAAGCCCUUCCAAGUCCCUUCCCAGCUGCUCCACAAGAGUCCCUGUGGAAAACAGAGCUCUCGACCCCUGUCCUGGAAAUGAGUGUUGUAAGGAGCUGGGGCUGGGAUGCCAAAGGAGGGGUAGGGUGAGCUGGCCUUUCUCCUGGAUCCAUGGCAGGGAGGCAGGAAUGAAGGGGCUGUGUUGGGCUGGGCUGGGCUGGGAGGGGGUGCAGCCGCUGUCCCCCGGCACGGGAAGGAUUUGCUGUGCAGCCAGCCCCAGGAUCCCUGUGGAUCGCUUGGAUUCGAUGAUCUCUCUUUGGAAAGCCGGCCCUGCCCAGCCCCCUCCCCCCGCUGCCCUCGGAGGGACCCCGCUGUCCCCUGCGGCCGUGGGGACAAAGCCAGCCCCGGCAGGGAUGAGCGUGCUGUUUCUGUCCCAGGGACACUGGGCUGGCGCUGCCCUUUCCCUGCCUUUUCCCUUCCCGUGGCUUCGCUGGCUCUGCUGAUUCCUGCCUGGAGGCGGCCUGGCUGCGUUUCAGGGAUGCCCGGGCCGGGGGGAGGCUUGGCUUUCUGCUAAUUAACCAGACAAACAGUCUGGGCCACGUCCCCGCAGCCCGAGGCGCGGCAGGACCCGGCUGGUGGCUGCCACAGCUAAUGGGGAGCGUCUGCAGCGCUGAUGGAUGGCGGGGGAGAGGCGCUGAGGAUGUCACCUGCGCCCCGGGCAGCUCCGGACCUGCUGGGAUCCGGGGCAGCAUCCACGGCCUGGGAUCCGGGCAUCCACGGCCCGAGAUCCAGGGUAGCACCCACACCCUCCCGGGAUCCAGGGCAGUCUCCACAUCCAGGAUCCAGAGCACCAUCCACACCCAGGAUCCAGGGCAGCACCCAGACCCUCCCGGGAUCCAGGGGCAGCAUCCAGCCCCAGGAUCCAGGGCAGCACCCACACCCUCUCAGGAUCCAGAACAGCAUCCACCCCCAUGAUCCAGAGCACCAUCCACACCCUCCUGGGAUCCAGGGCAGCAUCCACAUCCAGGAUCCAGAGCAGCAUCCUCCCCCAUGAUCCAGAGCACCAUCCACACCCGGGAUCCAGGGCAGCAUCCAGCCCCGGGAUCCAGAGCACCAUCCACACCCUCCUGGGAUCCAGGGCACCAUCCACACCCCCCAUCCCUCUCUAUACCCCGGGGCUCUCCCCUCCACACCCCGUCCCGGCUCCUGCUGCUUCCAGACCUCCUCGCAGCCGGUUCCUUCCUCUCCCUGCCUCCCUCCCCUUCUGGCCCCGCCGUUAUUUGCCUCCCUAAUUGGUUUAUUGAUCUCUGGAGGGGCCGGGCCGGGCUCGCCGUGCCGGUGAAUCACGUCGGUGACACUAAUGAGCCUUUGGCAGCCGCGCCGAGAUCGCGGCUCCUGCGCCGGCUGUGCCCGCCUCGUUGGAGGGUCCUGCGGUUAAUCCGGGGCUGCACAGGCUGGCUUUGGCAGCCGGGCUCUGUUCCAGCUGGAAAUGUCACGGCUGGUGACAGCAGGCACUGAUCCCGCUGCACUCCGCGUUCCUUGGUGCCCCGGGACGAAUAGGGCACCUCAGCCCCCUGA